UAUGGUUGGCCAAGGUGCUGGUUGACCAAGGCUCUCAUUGGCCAAGACUCCAGUUGGUUGGCCUAGGCUCUGGUUGACCAAGGCUCCAGUUGGCCAAGGUUGUGGGUAGACCUCGGUCAAUCUUCCAUUGGUCAACCUUCCAUUGGCCAAACAUCUUAAGUUGUCUCAGCAUAUGGGUCAACCUUCCAUUGGCCAACCACCCAUUGGUCAAGUGUCCAAGUUGGCCAGCUGGCCAAGCCUAUGGGUAGACCUCCCAUUGGUCAACCAUCCAUUGAGGUUUGCCAACCUUCCAUUGAGGUUAGCCAAAGUUCCAUUGAUGUUGGCCAACCUUCUGCUGAGGUUGGCCAACCUUGCAUUGAGGUUCGCCAACCCUCCAUUGAGGUUGUCCAGCCUUCCACUGAGGUUGACCAACCUUCCAUUGAGGUUCGCCAACCGUUCAUUGAGGUUGGCCAACCUUCCAUUGAGGUUGGCCAAACUUCCAUUGAGGUUGGCCAAACUUCCAUUGAGGUUGACCAACCUUCCAUUGAGGUUGGCCAACCUUCCAUUGAGGUUCGCCAACCCUCCAUUGAGGUUGUCCAGCCUUCCAUUGAGGUUGACCAUUCUGUUGAGGUUGACCAACCUUCCAUUGACGUUGGCCAGCCUUCCGUUGAGGUAGUCCAACCUUUCGUUGAGCUUGGUCAACGUCUCGUUGGCCGAGUCCAUCGUGCCGUGCCGGCGCCGCUCUCUCCGUGUCUCUCUGUGUCCCUGCACCCCUUGGGGCCGAGGUUUGGGGGUGUCCCCAUCGUUCUGGGGGUGUCCCUGUUGUUCUGGGGGUGUCCCCGUUCCUGGGGUGUCCCAGUUUUGGGGUGUCCCCAUCGUUCUGGGGGUGUCCCCAUUGUUCUGGGGGUUUCCCCAUUCCGGUGGUAUCUCGGUUUUGGGGUGUCCCUAUUCUGGUGUGUCCCAGUUUU
ensembl:lncRNA